GUCUGGUCUAGCUACUGGUUCGAUCGUCUCAUCCUCUCGUCACCCUUAUCGGGCUCGGCGGCGGCGGCAACAGCAAGAUCGGCGCCGUCACCUCAUCGUCGUCGCCUUUAUCAGCUCAAAAGCGGCGACAAGGUCGUCGCCGUUGUCUCAUCCUCGUCGCCGUUAUCGGCUCGGCGGCCGCGGCAAGGUCGGUGCCGCACCACCCGUCUCUCCUCCUUCCAAGCUCCCACCACCCAGAGGAUGCCGCCACUAGCGUGCUCACCAUCGUUGCGGCCCUAUUCGGCUGAAUCCGCUAGGUACGACAUCCUCCUCUACUUCUCCCAUCUAUUGAUUUGUUCCCUUAUUGGGCUUUGUCAGAAUUUCUCAUGCUUUGCUAGCUUGGCACCCAAAAGACCACAAUAUUCAGAGUUAGCUUGCUAAAUGAUACAAACCCUGAAUUCCAAGAACCAGGCUAGAAAAUUUUGAGCACCGAAUACCUUGCAAUGCAGAGAGAGAGAGAGUCAUGAGCAUUCAGAUCUAGAAAAUUGAUUUGUUAAACCCAAAUGUUCAAACACUCCAAUUGUUUGCCGUUUGCAGUUGUUUUUUUAGUCUGUAUAUCUAUGCCGUCAUUGCUACAUGCACAAGUGUUUUCUGGACUUCUGUUCUGUAGCGCUUCCUAUAUCAGUUGCAUUAAUUGCUUUUUUUUUUGCUACCUCUCAACUGCCUGAUGUGCUGGAUAGUGGUAAUAUAUCAAUGCUUGGUUCAUCAGGUCUUUUAACUGUCAUAAUCUGGCUAAUAGAUGGAAAUGUUUUCAAUUUGUAUAGCACUAUAGCAGUAUAACAAAGUGGAUUGCAACUUCUCCAUAGACCAGAUAUACACUCUUGUACUUAGAUAGAUACCCUUGUUUUUCAGCUAAGAUGCAUAUUUGGUCCUGGUCUAAUUUUCAGCUUUGUUUCAAUUGUUCCAAUUCUAAUUUUUCUAAGAGUAGCUUUGAUAUAGUUGUGCACAGUUUUCAUUUUGGUGACAAUCAUAUCUUAUUAUUAAGUAGGUAAACAUGUCAUCCACCACAUCUGGUAGUUCAACAAAUCAUGAUUCAAUGGAGUUACUCACAUCCGAAAUGCCACGCCGCACAAGGUCCAUUGUUUGGGAACACUAUGAGCAAAACUUAGUUAAUGUGGAUGGUGAUCUAAAGGCUGUUUGCAAGUACUGUGGAAUACACUUGAACGCCAAGUCUGGAACUAGUAGUCUAAGAGAUCAUAUUGCUAACGCUUGCCCAGCGAUUGGUACUCCUAUCAGACAAAAAUUCAAAGCCACCCUCAAUAAGCAAUCCUUAGUAGAACCUUUUGUAUUUGACCCUCAAAUGUGUCAUCAAGAGAUGAUCAAGUAUAUCAUUCAUGCUGAAAUUCCUUUUCUCAAGUUUGAAGACCCUUACCUCCAUUCAUGGCUCAAGACCUUGCAUCCAACUUUUAAAGUUAGGGGUCGUCAAACAAUCCGUAAUGAUUGCUUGAAGUAUGUAGAGAUGAAAAAAGAGCUUCAAGUUGAACUCUAGAAUUUGGAUUCUCAUGUUUGCUUGACAUCGGAUAUUUGGACAUCGUCACAGAACUUAGGAUACAUGGCUGUGACUGCUCACUACAUUGAUGCAGAGUUUAGGAUAAAAAAAUCAUAUGGUUCAAAGAACUAGAGUAUCCUCACUCAGGCUAUGCAAUCGAAGAGGAGUUGUUGAGAUGUCUAGCUAACUAGGAAAUAAGAGAAAAGAUCUUUACCUUGACAUUAGACAACGCUAGCAAAAAAACACUUCUGCAUGUGAGUUGUUAGUAGCAGAUUGCAAGCAUGAUCUAAUGCUUGGCGGAGAACAUCUACAUGUUAGAUGUUGUGCUUACAUACUUUACAUCUUGGUUCAAGAUGGGAUGAGGAUAAUACAUUCAGCAAUCCAAAAAAUUCAUGAGCUACUAAAGCACAUCGAUUCUUCACCAUCAAGGCUGCAAGUGUUCAAUGCAAUUGCAAAUGGGAAAGGUCUUGCCUCAAGAUUUGGUAUUUAUCUUUACAUCCCAACCAGAUGGAACUCGACAUACAAAAUGAUUAGAGAAGCAUUGUUAUACAAGGCUGUUCUAAAUACCUAUGCUACUAAAUUUGUGGAAGUUGGUCCCAGUGAAGAGGAGUGGAUAAAAGCAGAAGCAAUUUCCGAGUUCCUUAAAGCCUUUGAAGAACUUACCCUUGCUGUUUCAGCCCACAGGAAACCAACAUCGCAUAAGUUUUUUCUCCUGGUUCUUUGCAUCAUGUAUGCACUGAAGGAGGACACAGCCUUGAAAACAACUAACUUGCUUCAAGAGUUGGCAGCAGCUAUGUGUUCUAAGUUUUAGAAGUAUUGGGACCUAGAUGAUGAUAACCCUCAAAGUGAAGAUAUCCCUCGUAGAAGGAACAAAGAGAUUGCAUUUAACCUUGCACUAGUCAUUGCCAUCGUAUUAGAUCCAAGACAAAAAGCACUCUAUUUGGAUUUCUUUUUUCAGAUGGUGUGCAAAAAUGCAGAUCAAAUUGGUAUGCGUGUGGACUUUGUCAUGGUGUGGAUGACAAGGUACUUCACAUUGUAUGAGCAACAACAUUCAAGGGUAAGCAUGAGGACACAUGCUAGUGAAGUCUCCAUUGUGGGAUCACCGGUUCUCGGGAAAAGGAAGCUUGAAGCUGAGUCUGCUCAGUACAAAUCACAAGCGAGGGUUGCACGGCCACCAAAAUCUGAGAUGGAUGUCUACUAAGAAGAAGAGUCUAAGAAUGAUGUAAAAGGUUUCGAUGUGCAAGCAUGGUGGAAAAAUAAUUCAGAAAAAUUUCAUGUACUGUGUCAUCUGAAUCUGCCUUCAGUUGUGGGGGAAGGAUUCUUGGAGACCGUAGAAGCUCACUGACUCCAGAAAUGCUUCAGGCUCUUGUCUGCACAAAAGAUUGGCUAGUUAAGACUAAAGUUCCUGAAUUUUGUUCAGAAAGUGAAGAGGUUUCAAUGGAAGGAGGACUGACAAAUGAUCUAUUGGAGUAGCAAGGCUGUUGUUCAGGCGGCACCGGAGGAAAUAGACCUACAAUAUGUCUUAACUUAUUUAAUGUUAUGCUGCUGUUGAAAUCAACUUGUCGGUUUAUUUCAGUGUCACGUGAACUUCAUAUGUACUUAAUGGAACUAGUCUUGCAUUUGUUAGUUUAUUUGAGUGUCGUAUGAACUAUUGAACUGUGUGAACUUCAUAUGUACUUAAUGGAACUAGUCUUGCAUUUGUUAGUUUA